UGGAACUUCUUUCCAUGGUUGUCCCGAGG
rnacentral:piRNA from 1 species